rnacentral:rRNA from 1 species
UGGGGAAUUUUGCACAAUGGGGGAAACCCUGAUGCAGCGACGCCGCGUGAUUUAGAAGGCCUUCGGGUUGUAAAAAUCUUUUUUACGGGAUGAAAAUGACAGUACCGUAAGAAUAAGGUCCGGCUAAAUACGUGCCAGCAGCCGCGGUAAUACGUAUGGACCGAGCGUUGUCCGGAAUCAUUGGGCGUAAAGGGUACGUAGGCGGCCUAGUAAGUUAGAAGUGAAAUCCUGUAGCUCAACUACAGUAAGCUUUUAAAACUGCUCAUCUUGAGAUAUGGAAGGGAAAGUGGAAUUCCUAGUGUAGCGGUGAAAUGCGCAGAUAUUAGGAGGAAUACCGGUGGCGAAGGCGACUUUCUGGCCAUAAUCUGACGCUGAGGUACGAAAGCGUGGGUAGCAAACAGG